rnacentral:rRNA from 1 species
AACGAACGCUGGCGGCAUGCCUAACACAUGCAAGUCGAACGAGAUCUUCGGGUCUAGUGGCGCACGGGUGCGUAACGCGUGGGAAUCUGCCCUUUGGUUCGGAAUAACAGUUGGAAACGACUGCUAAUACCGGAUGAUGACGAAAGUCCAAAGAUUUAUCGCCAGAGGAUGAGCCCGCGUAGGAUUAGCUAGUUGGUGUGGUAAAGGCGCACCAAGGCGACGAUCCUUAGCUGGUCUGAGAGGAUGAUCAGCCACACUGGGACUGAGACACGGCCCAGUCUCAGACGGGAGGCAGCAGUGGGGAAUAUUGGACAAUGGGCGAAAGCCUGAUCCAGCAAUGCCGAGUGAGUGAUGAAGGCCUUAGGGUUGUAAAGCUCUUUUACCCGGGAUGGUAAUGACAGUACCGGGAGAAUAAGCUCCGGCUAACUCCGUGCCAGCCGCCGCCGUAA